CAAAAAUUAAAAAAAAUGCAACAGGGGAAGUAAUAAAUAAAAAUAAUACUUUUUUCUUUUUAAAUAAACCUUAUUUUUUUAAAACUGUUAGCAAUGGUACUAACAGUAAUAAGACCUAUUUGUGUUUAAAAAGGAAUAGCACAUUUUGUGGUAGUAAUGGUAGUAGUAAAAAAAAAAAAUAUGUUUUUUCUUUGAAUAGCCAAAAAUGUAGUGGAUAUCGAAAUAAAAGAGAAGGUAAAGAAGAAACUGUUCGUAAAAUAAAAAGAAUUUUAAAAGUAACAAAAUUAUUGAUCCAAUUAAAUAGUUUUAAAUUAACACCUAAUCUAAGAGUAGAUUUAUUAAUAAAUAUGCCAAGACCACAUGUACGUAUGCAUAUGGUUAAAAAUACUUUAAUGAAAUUAGCAAUAAAAAAUACCCCAUUUGAAGCCAUUAGCCCAUAUUUAAAACAAAGUAAUGUAUAUUUAUUUAUUAUGAAUGAAAAUUAUAUAUCCUUCUGUCUUUAUAAAAAUAAAAUGUUCAGCUCAUUAUAUAAAGAAUAUAAAAUUAAUAAUUUCAUAAAAGUUGCUAUUUAUGAAAAUACAAUUUUAAAUAAAAANNNNNNNNNNACAUAUUCAGAAAAUAAAGCCACUAUUAUAAAACAUAAAAAAACUAAACAAAAAAUACCUUUUAUAGUUGCAUCAAAAAUUAAAAAAAAUGCAACAGGGGAAGUAAUAAAUAAAAAUAAUACUUUUUUCUUUUUAAAUAAACCUUAUUUUUUUAAAACUGUUAGCAAUGGUACUAACAGUAAUAAGACCUAUUUGUGUUUAAAAAGGAAUAGCACAUUUUGUGGUAGUAAUGGUAGUAGUAAAAAAAAAAAAUAUGUUUUUUCUUUGAAUAGCCAAAAAUGUAGUGGAUAUCGAAAUAAAAGAGAAGGUAAAGAAGAAACUGUUCGUAAAAUAAAAAGAAUUUUAAAAGUAACAAAAUUAUUGAUCCAAUUAAAUAGUUUUAAAUUAACACCUAAUCUAAGAGUAGAUUUAUUAAUAAAUAUGCCAAGACCACAUGUACGUAUGCAUAUGGUUAAAAAUACUUUAAUGAAAUUAGCAAUAAAAAAUACCCCAUUUGAAGCCAUUAGCCCAUAUUUAAAACAAAGUAAUGUAUAUUUAUUUAUUAUGAAUGAAAAUUAUAUAUCCUUCUGUCUUUAUAAAAAUAAAAUGUUCAGCUCAUUAUAUAAAGAAUAU
rnacentral:lncRNA from 1 species